GCAGUAGCCGCGGGAAAACAGAGGGUGCGAGCGUUAAUCGGAUUUACUGGGCGUAAAGCGUGCGUAGGCGGCUUUUUAAGUCGGAUGUGAAAUCCCUGAGCUUAACUUAGGAAUUGCAUUCGAUACUGGGAAGCUAGAGUAUGGGAGAGGAUGGUAGAAUUCCAGGUGUAGCGGUGAAAUGCGUAGAGAUCUGGAGGAAUACCGAUGGCGAAGGCAGCCAUCUGGCCUAAUACUGACGCUGAGGUACGAAAGCAUGGGGAGCAAACAGGAUUAGAUACCCGCGUAGUCCCUGUCUCUUAUAC
rnacentral:rRNA from 1 species